rnacentral:misc_RNA from 1 species
AAGUCGUAACAAGGUUUCCGUAGGUGAACCUGCGGAAGGAUCAUUAAUGUAAUUGUUGGAUUAUAGACCUUCGGGUUUAUAUUCUAGACCUUGUGAACCUGGUUUAAUAUAUGUGCCAAUGAGUAGAGGAACAUAGACUGGGGUCUAUGUCUUGAAUAGGGUUAAGUUUAUUUAGGUGAACUUAAGUCUAUUAAGGUGGUUGAUAGGGGUUGACUCUGGUCUUCUUGUUGAAACUAUCCUUUGCUUGUUGUGCUACUUUACCCUAUUUAAUAUACUUUUAUUACCAUAAUUUGUAACCUUAACAACUUUUAACAAUGGAUCUCUUGGCUCCC